rnacentral:lncRNA from 1 species
GAUACAAUAUUUUAUAGUCCACUUCUGAAUCCUAAAGGCACCUCAUUUACCCAGUGUAGCUCUCAUUGGCCGGCUGGUAAUUUUCACUGCUAAUAAUAGAUUCCUUUCUUAUUUAUUAUAGCUGCAGAUACUUUACAUGCUAUCUGCAGUCAUGGUGAAGGCUAGUGGAUGGUCCCUCUUCUGUUGAACGAAGAGUGAAAGUUUGCAUCCGUAAUACUUGGGGGACUGUGUGUAAUUCUGGCUGGGGCACAAUGAAUGCUAAUAUAACCUGUCAUUAACUUGGACAUCAGAAAUAUGGUGCAGAGCCAGUGUAUUGGUCCGCUUAUGGUAAAGGCUUUUAUCCUCUUGCUCUGGCUGGUCUCGCUUGUAACGGAGAAGAGAGUAAUCUCUUGAAGUGCAGCAGAAACUACUACUUACUACUACUGUCUUGUAAUGGAGAUUGAAGCUGCUGGUGCCAAGUUUGAAAGUAAAGGAAUCUAUCCUGUAAUUUUUUACAUGCAAAUCUCAUUGAGUUGGUAGGACUCUGUGAUGAGCUAUCAGUUUGUGUCAUUGGUACUUCAUAUGCUAACAUGGGAUGUGUUGAUUUGUGUAGGAACAGGAUUUGACAUAGAGUUUGCUCGUUUCCUCAUGAAGCAGGUUCUGUAGUAUGUAGACAAUUAGGCUACUCGCCAUAAUGGUGUUGUAGUUAUCAAGGAGAGGUUUUCUGGAGAUGUUCAAGCAUGUGUUGAAGACACGGACUCUGGAGUAAUCUGCCGAAGUAGCACAAUUUAGUAUGAUAAAUACAGAUAUGUGUAUAUGCAACUAUUGUAUUAAAAUAAAACUAUUUAUUUUGUAGGGGUCAAUACUGUAUAUUCUAAUUGCAGUCAUGGUGAGGUUAGAUUGACUGGUGGAUGGUUGUAUACUGACACAAGGAAGGAUAGAGAUCUAUAUUGAUGGAGUAUGGGGCACUGUCUGUGAUAGAGGAUAGGAUACUGAUGCUAAUGUUGCAUGUGCUCAACAAGGUCUUUAUCCUUCAGGAGAUAGACAUGUUAUGGUGCUUUUUACGGUCAAGGAUUAGGGCCAAUCUUUCUAUCUGGUUUAAAGUGUACUGGUAUCGAGAAUAAUUUUUUGAACUGCAGUAGAGAUGUAUUAGAUGCUGAAAAUAUGGUAGACACUAUGAAGAUGCUGGUGUAGCCUGUCAAGUUACACUAUUAUAAUUACUAUUAUAAUUACUAUUAUAAUGGCAUUUUAUUUGUUAAUUAAUUUACUUGAUUACAGGGUCAUACCCAGUUAUAUUUAGUCACAGGUUUGGAUCAAUAUUUGGCAGAGAACUAAUAUUUGUGUCUGGUCCUAGCUUUGAAUUGAGUGAUAUUACAAAGUGUCUGUUUGGUAUACUUGUGACUGAUGGAGUCUACCUGACUGAGACUCAGUGUCUCUGUGUAGUACCACCAGCACAUGAUACUGGGUUGACUAUUUGACUGAUAUUAGGAUUACAAUUAAGAGGAGUGAGGCUACUCUGAGUGGAAUAACACAAUACAGAUACAGUUAGUGAUAUACUCAAAGCUAUUAUACAUUGCUUGCUAAUAUUGUUGAGUGUUGACUAUUAUAUUCAUCAUGCAUGCAUGAUUGCACUUUCACUGUCAUUCUUAUGCAUUUCCAGUUGAUAAUCAACAGUUGCUAAUAUAUACUGUGGAGUUGACACUUUCAAAAUAAACAAUUUGUAAGGACUGUACAUAUAUAUCUUUAUUUUCUUUGUAGUGCCAAUAGAAAGUGUUAUGCAUAUUAGACAACUUUGGUCAUGGCUAAGAAACUUAAAGUAGUUUUCAUUACCUCUUUUUCAGCUGUUUUAGUUCUUCUUUGGGAUCAUCUUUUGUCUUUUCAAUUUGGUGCCGAUUGGUAUUUUUUGAAAUCUAAUUCUCAUAGUAAAUCUUUCUUUUACAUUGGAUUUCUAUUUUAUUUCUUUCAUCCUUUCUUUGGUCUAUUGGCUGAUGUGUGGAUUGGAAGAUACAAAGCUAUACUGAUUGGCACAGUGCUAUGUUUCAUAUCAUGGAUUAUGUCUGGGAUUGGAUUCAUCAUACAAAGCUGUAAUGGUCCUUAUGAAGCACUUUGGUUAGUGUAUAGCCUAUCAUCUUUGGUCCAGUAUGUUGAAAUAGCUUUGUUUACUGCUAACAUUAUUCAGUAUACCAUUGAUCAACUUGUUGGAGCUUCAGCUGAUGAACUAAACACAGUGAUAUAUUGGCAUUGCUUUGCCUUUCCAAUGCAGUAUUUUCUCCUUAUCUUGGCUAACUGCCGUAAUACUUAUAAACAUCUUAAUUUGAUCAUAUUUAUACUAUCAGGAGUAACUGUAUCUCUUGUACUGGUGUCUCAUUCAUCCUUCAAACACAAA